rnacentral:lncRNA from 1 species
GAACCAACUGUAUGACUCACAGUUGUGAGCCCCUGCAAGAAAUGAUCAACAAUGUACCCUGAUGAAUCACAAAACAGAACAAUGACCAAAUCUGGGAGUAUUUGGGCAGUAUUUUCACCCGGAACAUGCAAGGUAAGAGCCAGGUGAGUAAUUAGCCAUGACUUUUAAUAAGUGACUAAUCCCCUGAGAGAAAGCUUUGCCAAAGUAGAGUCAAUGGGAAAAUGCAGAUUGUUAUGAAAUCUUUGACGUCUUAUUCAUUCAGUGGAUACUUGUGGAGCUUCUCAUAGGAAAUCAAAUGCUGUACACAACCCUGGGGACAUUACAAGAGGAGGCAUGGUCCCUACUUAAGGAAUUCAUGGCUUCAUGGUAGCAGCUGGUAUCCUAUUGUCAAUAAAAAUCAGCUAUAAUACAAAUGGGGUGCUACAAUCAAGAUAUAUAUGACAAGUUACGGGAUAUUAAGACGGACGAUGCCUAAUCUGUUCAGAGAAAGUCAGGGGAGACUUUAGAGAGGAGAUAACUCUGGAACUGAGACCUAUAUAUUAAAAAGGGUUAGGAGGACAAGGUGAGGAAAAGCAUUUCAGCCAGAGAGUACAGCAUCUGCCAGCGGGGAUUGCAUGGAGGUUGAAACAAAAAGCAGAGUACAUUAGAAGUAAUUUACCGGGGGGUACAGCAAACGGUGUGUAGGAAACGGAGCUGGUGAGGAGGGGGAGUCAGGUUCUAGGAGGUGGAGGGCCUCCUAGGACAUCAUAAGGAGCUAAGAUUGUAUUUUGUGCGUAAUGGAGAGCCGUUGCCCAGUUUUAAGUCGGGGUGAGACAUACGGUGUUGCAGUCCCGAGAGAUUACCCACCCUGGGGACAGCACAGGGUAUGGCCCGUGCGAAGCUGAAUCAAGAAGCGAGGAGGUCCCUUGCGGGGCUGCUGUAUUUCUGGACUUACUUUUGUUGUAUUUAUGAAUUUACGUUGUAUCUAUGUAUUUAGGGAAGCAGUCAUGGGGGUGAGGAGGAGGAAGCAUCUUCAGAAAAUGCAGAGGGAAGGAAUCCCUGGACUUCACCGCUACUCAGCAGCACAUGACCAGCAUCUGUCUCUCCUUAAAGCCCUCCUCUUAUUUUUCAUCCUGGACACGAAACUCAUAGUUUGCCUUGUGUUUCACUGGCGCUUCCCUUUUUUCAGUCUCCUUUGCCAGCAACUCGUCCUUUUCCUGACCUCUGAUGUCGGCAGACCCUUUCGCACAAGAUGGGGAACCCGAAGGAGGCCAGGAGACCUGCUCCUGUCACUAACACACUGGGGUUGA